rnacentral:rRNA from 1 species
GCACAUGGUAGGGGAGCGUUCCGUAAGCCUGUGAAGGUGGCUUGUAAAGGCUGCUGGAGGUAUCGGAAGUGCGAAUGCUGACAUGAGUAGCGUUAAAACGGGUGAAAAGCCCGUUCGCCGAAAGCCCAAGGUUUCCUGCGCAACGUUCAUCGGCGCAGGGUGAGUCGGCCCCUAAGGCGAGGCUGAAAAGCGUAGUCGAUGGGAAACAGGUUAAUAUUCCUGUACCGGUUCUUGGUGCGAUGUGGGGACGGAGAAGGGUAGGUCAGCCGGGUGUUGGAAGUCCCGGUUCAAGCGUGCAGGUGGGGAGAUCAGGCAAAUCCGGUCUCCUGUUAACACUGAGGCGUGACGACGGUGCUGCAUUGCAGCCGAAGUGAUUGAUCCCAUGCUUCCAGGAAAAGCCACUAAGCUUCAGCCAAGAAUUGACCGUACCGCAAACCGACACUGGUGGGCAGGAUGAGAAUUCCAAGGCGCUUGAGAGAACUCAGGAGAAGGAACUCGGCAAAUUGACACCGUAACUUCGGGAGAAGGUGUGCCCCGUUAGCGUGAAGCGAUUUACUCGUGGAGCGUGAAGGGGUUGCAGUGAAAAGGUGGCUGCGACUGUUUAUCAAAAAACACAGCACUCUGCCAAGACGAAAGUCGACGUAUAGGGUGUGACGCCUGCCCGGUGCCGGAAGGUUAAGUGAUGGGGUGCAAGCUCUUGAUCGAAGCCCCGGUAAACGGCGGCCGUAACUAUAACGGUCCUAAGGUAGCGAAAUUCCUUGUCGGGUAAGUUCCGACCCGCACGAAUGGCGUAACGAUGGCCACACUGUCUCCUCCUGAGACUCAGCGAAGUUGAAAUGUUUGUGAAGAUGCAAUCUCCCCGCUGCUAGACGGAAAGACCCCGUGAACCUUUACUGUAGCUUUGCAUUGGACUUUGAAGUGGUUUGUGUAGGAUAGGUGGGAGGCUUUGAAGCGUGGACGCUAGUUCACGUGGAGCCGUCCUUGAAAUACCACCCUGACCCCUUUGAGGUUCUAACCUUGGUCCGUGAUCCGGAUCGGGGACCGUGCAUGGUAGGCAGUUUGACUGGGGCGGUCUCCUCCCAAAGUGUAACGGAGGAGCUCGAAGGUCACCUAGGUACGGUCGGACAUCGUACUGAUAGUGUAAUGGCACAAGGUGGCUUGACUGCGAGACUGACAAGUCGAGCAGGUGCGAAAGCAGGACAUAGUGAUCCGGUGGUUCUGAAUGGAAGGGCCAUCGCUCAACGGAUAAAAGGUACUCCGGGGAUAACAGGCUGAUUCCGCCCAAGAGUUCACAUCGACGGCGGAGUUUGGCACCUCGAUGUCGGCUCAUCACAUCCUGGGGCUGUAGCCGGUCCCAAGGGUAUGGCUGUUCGCCAUUUAAAGUGGUACGUGAGCUGGGUUCAAAACGUCGUGAGACAGUUUGGUCCCUAUCUGCAGUGGGCGUUGGAAGUUUGAGGGGGGCUGCUCCUAGUACGAGAGGACCGGAGUGGACGCAUCUCUGGUGUACCGGUUAUCACGCCAGUGGUAUCGCCGGGUAGCUAAAUGCGGAAGAGAUAAGCGCUGAAAGCAUCUAAGCGCGAAACUCGCCUCAAGAUGAGACUUCCCUGGUAACUUGA